rnacentral:tRNA from 1 species
UCCAGCAGAUAGUUUAAUAAAAAUAUUAAUUUUGGAGAUUAAUGAUAAGAUUUUGUCUUUCCGCUGA